UCCGUAGGUGAACCUGCGGAAGGAUCAUUACUGUGAUUUAUAUCUUAUACACAUGCGUGAGCGCACCAAACACCUAAAAUUGUAAUACUACACUUGUCAGUAAGUUUUAACAAAACAAAACUUUCAACAACGGAUCUCUUGGUUCUCGCAUCGAUGAAGAGCGCAGCGAAAUGCGAUACCUAGUGUGAAUUGCAGCCAUCGUGAAUCAUCGAGUUCUUGAACGCACAUUGCGCCCCAUGGUAUUCCAUGGGGCAUGCCUGUCUGAGCGUCGUUUCCUUCUUGCGCAAGCAGAGUUGAGAACAGGCUAUGCCUUUUUCGAAAUGGAACGUCGUGGACGAAGUGAACUAAACAUUUAGCACGCUUUGGCCGCCGAACUUUUAACUAAGCUCGACCUCAGAUCAGGUAGGAAUACCCGCUGAACUUAAGCAUAUCAAUAAGCGGAGGAAAGG
rnacentral:rRNA from 1 species